ensembl:miRNA dre-mir-430a-10 microRNA 430a-10
GUCACUAUCGGUACCCUCACAAAGGCACUGACUUGGAUGCUGUAAUUGGUAAGUGCUAUUUGUUGGGGUAGUUUCAAGUGAC